rnacentral:lncRNA from 1 species
GUCAGGGCUGGGGCUGAGGCUGAGCUGACAGAUCAGCUGGAAGGCAGGCAGUAUCACCGCCCGGUGCCUCAGUUGCUGUGACACCCUGGGACUGUGUCCUGCUGGAUAUCAGUACAGCAGUGCCUGUGGCGCAGGUGACCAACCCGAGCUGCUGUUGGAGAUGAUCAGGAAGAAUCAGUUUUGGGGUACAACAUGAGACCAACAACCUCCAAUGAAAGACGGACAACCUUCAGUGAAGGUACUUGGAUAAUGCUGCUCUGGAAGAAAGAAGAUAGACACUGCAAGUACAGAAAGGUCAGGUAA